rnacentral:rRNA from 1 species
GGGUUGUGAGGUUAAGCGACUAAGCGUACACGGUGGAUGCCCUGGCAGUCAGAGGCGAUGAAGGGCGUGCUAAUCUGCGAUAAGCGCCGGUAAGGUGAUAUGAACCGUUAUAACCGGCGAUACCCGAAUGGGGAAACCCAGUGUGAUUCGUCACACUAUCAUUAACUGAAUCCAUAGGUUAAUGAGGCGAACCGGGGGAACUGAAACAUCUAAGUACCCCGAGGAAAAGAAAUCAACCGAGAUUCCCCCAGUAGCGGCGAGCGAACGGGGAGGAGCCCAGAGCCUGAAUCAGCAUGUGUGUUAGUGGAAGCGUCUGGAAAGGCGCGCGAUACAGGGUGACAGCCCCGUACACAAAAGCGCAUGUGCUGUGAGCUCGAUGAGUAGGGCGGGACACGUGGUAUCCUGUCUGAAUAUGGGGGGACCAUCCUCCAAGGCUAAAUACUCCUGACUGACCGAUAGUGAACCAGUACCGUGAGGGAAAGGCGAAAAGAACCCCGGCGAGGGGAGUGAAAAAGAACCUGAAACCGUGUACGUACAAGCAGUGGGAGCACAGGUUUACCUGUGUGACUGCGUACCUUUUGUAUAAUGGGUCAGCGACUUAUAUUCUGUAGCAAGGUUAACCGAAUAGGGGAGCCGGAGGGAAACCGAGUCUUAAUUGGGCGUUAAGUUGCAGGGUAUAGACCCGAAACCCGGUGAUCUAGCCAUGGGCAGGUUGAAGGUUGGGUAACACUAACUGGAGGACCGAACCGACUAAUGUUGAAAAAUUAGCGGAUGACCUGUGGCUGGGGGUGAAAGGCCAAUCAAACCGGGAGAUAGCUGGUUCUCCCCGAAAGCUAUUUAGGUAGCGCCUCGUGAAUUCAUCUCCGGGGGUAGAGCACUGUUUCGGCUAGGGGGCCAUCCCGGCUUACCAACCCGAUGCAAACUGCGAAUACCGGAGAAUGUUAUCACGGGAGACACACGGCGGGUGCUAACGUCCGUCGUGAAGAGGGAAACAACCCAGACCGCCAGCUAAGGUCCCAAAGUCAUGGUUAAGUGGGAAACGAUGUGGGAAGGCCCAGACAGCCAGGAUGUUGGCUUAGAAGCAGCCAUCAUUUAAAGAAAGCGUAAUAGCUCACUGGUCGAGUCGGCCUGCGCGGAAGAUGUAACGGGGCUAAACCAUGCACCGAAGCUGCGGCAGCGACGCUUAUGCGUUGUUGGGUAGGGGAGCGUUCUGUAAGCCUGUGAAGGUGGCCUGUGAGGGUUGCUGGAGGUAUCAGAAGUGCGAAUGCUGACAUAAGUAACGAUAAAGCGGGUGAAAAGCCCGCUCGCCGGAAGACCAAGGGUUCCUGUCCAACGUUAAUCGGGGCAGGGUGAGUCGACCCCUAAGGCGAGGCCGAAAGGCGUAGUCGAUGGGAAACGGGUUAAUAUUCCCGUACUUGGUGUUACUGCGAAGGGGGGACGGAGAAGGCUAUGUUGGCCGGGCGACGGUUGUCCCGGUUUAAGCGUGUAGGUGUGUGUUCCAGGUAAAUCCGGUUCACUUUAACACUGAGGCGUGAUGACGAGGCACUACGGUGCUGAAGUAACAAAUGCCCUGCUUCCAGGAAAAGCCUCUAAGCAUCAGGUAACAUCAAAUCGUACCCCAAACCGACACAGGUGGUCAGGUAGAGAAUACCAAGGCGCUUGAGAGAACUCGGGUGAAGGAACUAGGCAAAAUGGUGCCGUAACUUCGGGAGAAGGCACGCUGACACGUAGGUGAAGUGAUUUACUCACGGAGCUGAAGUCAGUCGAAGAUACCAGCUGGCUGCAACUGUUUAUUAAAAACACAGCACUGUGCAAACACGAAAGUGGACGUAUACGGUGUGACGCCUGCCCGGUGCCGGAAGGUUAAUUGAUGGGGUCAGCGCAAGCGAAGCUCCUGAUCGAAGCCCCGGUAAACGGCGGCCGUAACUAUAACGGUCCUAAGGUAGCGAAAUUCCUUGUCGGGUAAGUUCCGACCUGCACGAAUGGCGUAAUGAUGGCCAGGCUGUCUCCACCCGAGACUCAGUGAAAUUGAACUCGCUGUGAAGAUGCAGUGUACCCGCGGCAAGACGGAAAGACCCCGUGAACCUUUACUAUAGCUUGACACUGAACAUUGAGCCUUGAUGUGUAGGAUAGGUGGGAGGCUUUGAAGCGUGGACGCCAGUCUGCGUGGAGCCGACCUUGAAAUACCACCCUUUAAUGUUUGAUGUUCUAACGUGGACCCGUGAUCCGGGUUGCGGACAGUGUCUGGUGGGUAGUUUGACUGGGGCGGUCUCCUCCUAAAGAGUAACGGAGGAGCACGAAGGUUGGCUAAUCCUGGUCGGACAUCAGGAGGUUAGUGCAAUGGCAUAAGCCAGCUUGACUGCGAGCGUGACGGCGCGAGCAGGUGCGAAAGCAGGUCAUAGUGAUCCGGUGGUUCUGAAUGGAAGGGCCAUCGCUCAACGGAUAAAAGGUACUCCGGGGAUAACAGGCUGAUACCGCCCAAGAGUUCAUAUCGACGGCGGUGUUUGGCACCUCGAUGUCGGCUCAUCACAUCCUGGGGCUGAAGUAGGUCCCAAGGGUAUGGCUGUUCGCCAUUUAAAGUGGUACGCGAGCUGGGUUUAGAACGUCGUGAGACAGUUCGGUCCCUAUCUGCCGUGGGCGCUGGAGAACUGAGGGGGGCUGCUCCUAGUACGAGAGGACCGGAGUGGACGCAUCACUGGUGUUCGGGUUGUCAUGCCAAUGGCACUGCCCGGUAGCUAAAUGCGGAAGAGAUAAGUGCUGAAAGCAUCUAAGCACGAAACUUGCCCCGAGAUGAGUUCUCCCUGAGACUUAGAGUCUCCUGAAGGAACGUUGAAGACGACGACGUUGAUAGGCCGGGUGUGUAAGCGCAGCGAUGCGUUGAGCUAACCGGUACUAAUGAACCGUGAGGCUUAACCUUACAACGCCGAAG